AUGGUGUGCUCUGAGAAGCUUUUAUGGUGGAAUUCUAGUAAUAGAAUUCUGACCCUGAAAGAAGCAUACAACUUCAAAGCCCGCAGUUUGUUGUCGGUGCAAUGGACCAAGAAUAUUUGGUCGACUGGCAUUCCUCCUUCGCACUUUUUGUUUGUCAGGAGAUUGAUGCACGAUAAGGUACCUACAGAUGAGCAAUUGCAGGCAAGAGCUCAAGCUUUCGGUGAACAAUUCGAAUGCGGUUUUCAGAAAUUCUAUGGGUGA